rnacentral:rRNA from 1 species
UACGUAGGGUGCGAGCGUUGUCCGGAAUUAUUGGGCGUAAAGAGCUUGUAGGCGGUCUGUCGCGUCUGCUGUGAAAAUCCGGGGCUCAACCCCGAACUUGCAGUGGGUACGGGCAGACUAGAGUGUGGUAGGGGGAGACUGGAAUUCCUGGUGUAGCGGUGAAAUGCGCAGAUAUCAGGAGGAACACCGAUGGCGAAGGCAGGUCUCUGGGCCAUAACUGACGCUGAGAAGCGAAAGCAUGGGGAGCGAAACAGG